rnacentral:lncRNA from 7 species
UGAAAAGCCGAGGACGCCGUUCUCCCCUACCGCGUGUGACUCCUUCGAUGCGGCGCUGUAGAAAUCACCGCCAGGGUAUAGCGAGACCGGAAGAGAGAUAUCGAGUGCUUGUGGACGACGCCGUCAUCGCACAUACAUCGUGUUAGUUCGGUCCGUCGCUGAUUGGAGUCUUUGGGGCACGGCAAAACCAUCUGCGGCAGCCGCAGGUGGCGCGUGGAACAUCACCCUCGGUCGGAGGAGCCUCAAUCACCGGAAGCCGUAUGGGAUUCGACCGUACCUUGCGAGGAUUUUCACGCCGUGUCUGAUUUGUGCCGUGGGGAUUCUGCACCAGUGGGUCGGUGUCGUCGUCGGGCUGCCAUGGAUCGCGCAGCCGCUGCGACGCGUUGACCGAAUCAUCUUCGCUCAGACCUAUGGUAAGAAACCCUCCACGAGAUCCUCCAUGCCGACCUCUUUGCGUGGCAUAAGUCGGUUUUGAGUUUAGGCGUAGGGGCGAUUGAUUUUCGGGGACACUAUAAUGGAGCCACCGCAGGGUGAACCUGCGCCGCCGGCUAGCUAUACCCGAGGAAGAAGAAUAGUGCUAGCCAUUGAUCAUAGGAUAAACGGUUGGCAUUAGAUCUCAAUCGUCAUUUCAGUAUUUUGAUCUUGGCCAUUAAAACUGGAUCGGGCGGCUGAGAUGGAUUCCUAGGCGUGGGAUGUUGCUGUUCGUGGAUCUCGGUACCUACGGCGGCAGAACGUUCCGGUUCGAUGUGGCCCAGAUCUAAUCUGUGCCGACCAUUCCGGAUCGGGCGGCCCUAGAUGGAGAAUACCUCUUCGGCCUUGGCAUGUUGCUAAAGAGACCCUAGACUUGUAGGAAAUGAACCCGCCGUCCUGCAGAAUAGUUCUGUGUCUUGGGAAAACUUGCACAAAAGCCCCCGAGUUCCUUUGUUUUCAUGCGUGUAGUCCAGAUAAUAAUAAAAACCAUAUAAAUAAUAUCAGAAAUUGAUUUUA